AAACCGAGUCUUAACUGGGCGUUAAGUUGCAGGGUAUAGACCCGAAACCCGGUGAUCUAGCCAUGGGCAGGUUGAAGGUUGGGUAACACUAACUGGAGGACCGAACCGACUAAUGUUGAAAAAUUAGCGGAUGACUUGUGGCUGGGGUGAAAGGCCAAUCAAACCGGGAGAUAGCUGGUUCUCCCGAAAGCUAUUUAGGUAGCGCCUCGUGAACUCAUCUUCGGGGGUAGAGCACUGUUUCGGCUAGGUCAUCCCGACUUACCAACCCGAUGCAAACUACGAAUACCGAAGAAUGUUAUCACGGGAGACACACGGCGGGUGCUAACGUCCGUCGUGAAGAGGGAAACAACCCAGACCGCCAGCUAAGGUCCCAAAGUCAUGGUUAAGUGGAAACGAUGUGGAAGGCACAGACAGCCGGAUGUUGGCUUAGAAGCAGCCAUCAUUUAAAGAAAGCGUAAUAGCUCACUGGUCGAGUCGGCCUGCGCGGAAGAUGUAACGGGCUAAACCAUGCACCGAAGCUGCGGCAGCGACACUAUGUGUUGUUGGGUAGGGGAGCGUUCUGUAAGCCUGCGAAGGUGUGCUGUGAGGCAUGCUGGAGGUAUCAGAAGUGCGAAUGCUGACAUAAGUAACGAUAAAGCGGGUGAAAAGCCCGCUCGCCGGAAGACCAAGGGUUCCUGUCCAACGUUAAUCGGGGCAGGGUGAGUCGACCCCUAAGGCGAGGCCGAAAGGCGUAGUCGAUGGGAAACAGGUUAAUAUUCCUGUACUUGGUGUUACUGCGAAGGGGGACGGAGAAGGCUAUGUUAGCCGGGCGACGGUUGUCCCGGUUUAAGCAUGUAGGCUGGUUAUCCGUGCAAAUCCGGAUAAUCAAGGCUGAGGUGUGAUGACGAGGCACUACGGUGCUGAAGUAACAAAUGCCCUGCUUCCGUGAAAGCCUCUAAGCAUCAGGUAACAUCAAAUCGUACCCCAAACCGACACAGGUGGUCAGGUAGAGAAUACCAAGGCGCUUGAGAGAACUCGGGUGAAGGAACUAGGCAAAAUGGUGCCGUAACUUCGGGAGAAGGCACGCUGGUGUAGGUGAAGUCCCUGCGGUGGAGCUGAGACCAGUCGAAGAUACCAGCUGGCUGCAACUGUUUAUUAAAAACACAGCACUGUGCAAACACGAAAGUGGACGUAUACGGUGUGACGCCUGCCCGGUGCCGGAAGGUUAAUUGAUGGGGUUAUCCGUAAGGAGAAGCUCUUGAUCGAAGCCCGGUAAACGGCGGCCGUAACUAUAACGGUCCUAAGGUAGCGAAAUUCCUUGUCGGGUAAGUUCCGACCUGCACGAAUGGCGUAAUGAUGGCCGUGCUGUCUCCACCCGAGACUCAGUGAAAUUGAACUCGCUGUGAAGAUGCAGUGUACCCGCGGCAAGACGGAAAGACCCCGUGAACCUUUACUAUAGCUUGACACUGAACAUUGAGCCUUGAUGUGUAGGAUAGGUGGGAGGCUUUGAAGCGUGGACGCCAGUCUGCGUGGAGCCAACCUUGAAAUACCACCCUUUAAUGUUUGAUGUUCUAACGUUGGCCCUUACCGGGGUUGCGGACAGUGUCUGGUGGGUAGUUUGACUGGGGCGGUCUCCUCCCAAAGCGUAACGGAGGAGCACGAAGGUUAGCUAAUCUCGGUCGGACAUCAGGAGGUUAGUGCAAUGGCAUAAGCUAGCUUGACUGCGAGCGUGACGGCGCGAGCAGGUGCGAAAGCAGGUCAUAGUGAUCCGGUGGUUCUGAAUGGAAGGGCCAUCGCUCAACGGAUAAAAGGUACUCCGGGGAUAACAGGCUGAUACCGCCCAAGAGUUCAUAUCGACGGCGGUGUUUGGCACCUCGAUGUCGGCUCAUCACAUCCUGGCUGAAGUAGGUCCCAAGGGUAUGGCUGUUCGCCAUUUAAAGUGGUACGCGAGCUGGGUUUAGAACGUCGUGAGACAGUUCGGUCCCUAUCUGCCGUGGGCGCUGGAGAAUUGAGGGGCUGCUCCUAGUACGAGAGGACCGGAGGACGCAUCACUGGUGUUCGGGUUGUCAUGCCAAUGGCACUGCCCGGUAGCUAAAUGCGGAAGAGAUAAGUGCUGAAAGCAUAGCACGAAACUUGCCCCGAGAUGAGUUCUCCCUGAGACUUUAAGUCUCCUGAAGGAACGUUAAAGACGAUGACGUUGAUAGGCCGGGUGUAAGCGCAGCGAUGCGUUGAGCUAACCGGUACUAAUGAACCGUGAGGCUUAACCUU
rnacentral:rRNA from 1 species